AAAAAAAGCAACGAAAGAACGGACCAAUGAAAGCGCAGAUUUAUUGAGGGGAAAGUACACUCCACAGAAGUGGAAUGUAGGUGUGGGAGCAGGCGACCAAGCGGCUCAAGAACCCCGAUUACAAUGUUUUUUAGGGUUUUAUUAGGUUGGUGCAAAAGUAAUUGCGGUUUUUGCCAUGAAUAAGCUAGAAUUUUAUAAUACCCCAAGAGUUCUUUAAAGGCCUCCAAUCCUAUGAAGGACUGGUGCACAACCAAUCAGAGGCUGAAGUGGAGACUUCUGUCUUGUUACCACAGGAGUGAGGACGUGGCCUGUGUGCUGCCUCAUCUUGCCUAGAACUAGCUGCACCUGCUGUUCUUUUGCUUAUGCCUUCAUUCUUGGUUACCCUAAUUCCCUAUUCUCCUGCCUCACUCUGAGGCAUUAGAGUUGGUUUUUCAGUCUGCCAGGGACAAAAGAGAACUAAUCCAGAUAGGACCAUGCCAAGGAAGAUAGAGGAGAGGCUAAAGAAAGAGUACAAAGGUCAAUCAGUCGUUCCCAUGGAAAAACAACUCUCCUGCUUAUAUAGUCAAUUAUUGUGUCCAAUUCAUUCAGCAAAACAUUUAUUCAUGUAAUAUCCCUUACUUGGUAUUCUAACUUAUAUUUUCAACUCAUUUUAGGAACUUGAAGUCAGUCUCAGGUAAAGAACAAUGAAAGAGAAAUCUCAGCUUGGUAUUGGUAAUGGUGGUGAUAAUCUCCACCUGGAGACACUAGGCGUAUGUUAAAUUAUCGAGCUUGUUAUCUUUCCUGGGAAGUGAUUAUCAUUUGUUUCUCUUGUGACAGCGGGGAGUGUUCUGCAUGAGGAACUAAUAUGAUACCAGAAAAACAGGUGAAAUGCCAGUUACAGAAACUUAUUACCAACGACUAUCUAAUAACUGCGAUGACAGAAAUAGGUCAAUUGAAACAUGAGUGGAUGGUGAAAAAAAUUUACACUUCACAGAAGUUUUUCUUUCUUUUUUUUUUUUUUUUUUUUUGAGACAAAGUCUCGUUCUGUCCCAGACUGGAGUGCAGUGGCGCCAUCUUGGCUCACUGCAACCUCCACCUCCCGGGUUCAAGCGAUUCUCCUGCCUCAGUCUCCCAAGUAGCUGGGAUAACAGAUGCCUGCCACCACGCCCAGCUAAUUUUUGUAUUUUUAGUAGAGACAAGGUUUCACCAUGUUGGCCAGACUGGUCUCAAACUCUUGACCUCUGACCUGCCUGCCUCCUUCUCCCACAAUGCUGACAUUACAGGCAUAAGUCACUGCUCCCAGCUGACUUUACAGGUGUUUGUUUGUUUGUUUGUUUGUUUUGAGAAGGAGUUUCACUCUUGUUGUCCAGGCUGGAGUACAAUGGCACAGUUUCAGCUCACUGCAACCUCCUCCUCCUGGGUCAAGCAAUUCAUUCUCCUGCCUCAGCCUCCCAAGUAGCUGGGAUUACAGGUGCCUGCCACCACACUCAGCUAAUUUUUGUAUUUUCAGUAGACACAAGGUUUCACCAUUUUGGCCAGGCUGGCCGCAAACUCCUCACCUCAGGUGAUCCACCCGAGGUGGCCUCCCAAAGUGUGGAGAAAAAUUGUGCCUGUUCACCUACCUACUUGGGAGGCUUAGAGGGAGGAUCACUUCUGCAAAGGAGUUUGAGGCCAGCCUGGGCAGCAGAGCAAGACUCUGUCUCCAAAUAAAUAAUUUAAUGAAUAAGUAAAAACAGAAGGUGAAAUCUGCAGUAUAGUAUUAUCCUCAUAGAAUUGUGUCUCCCUUUCUUCAUUAUUCUGUGUGUCAAUUAUGUUACAAGUUUUUCAUCUUAUAGGAAAAAAGUCAUAGAUUCUAUACACAUCUGUACUUUUUCUCACUUAGCAAUAUGGUUUGAACAAUGAAAAGCUUCUUUUUCACUUCACAUUUGAAAUCUGCUUAUCUCCACAUUCUAUUUUUUUCUCCCCUUUUUGAGACAGCGUCUCACUCUGUUGCCAAGGCUGAAGCGCAGUGGCAUGAUCAAGGCUCAACUGCAGUCUCAACCUCUCAGGCUCAAGUGAUCCUCCCAUCUCAGCAUUCAGGAGUAAUUGGGACUAUAGGCAUGCACCACCACAACCAGCUAAUUUUUGAGAGAUGUGGUUUUGCCAUGUUGCCCAGGCUGGUAUCAAACUCCUGAGUUCAAGCAAUCCUCCUGCCUCGGCCUCCCUAAGUGCUGGCAUUAUAGGAUUCGGCCACUACACCUGGCCUAUUCAUCUUUUUCUGAUGUAGAACCCACUCAGUGACAGUGUAAUCAAGAAUCAAGAAAGAGGCCAGAUGCAGUGGCCAUGCCUGCAAUCCCAGCACUUUGGGAGCCUAAGGUGGGCAGAUCACUUGAGGUCAGGAGUUUGAGACCAGCCUAGCCAACAUGGCAAAAACCCGUCUCUACUAAAAAUACAAAAAUUAGGUGGGUGUGGUGGCGCACAUCUGUAAUCCCAGCUACUCGGGAGGCUGAGGCAGGAGAAUUGCUUGAACCCGGGAGGCAGAGGUUGCAGUGAGCUGAAAUCGUGCCACUGCACUCCAGCGUGGACAACAGAGCAACUCCGUCUCAAAAAAAAAUAGAGCCAGAAUACAAUACACAAGCAACUGAAGUAUUUCAACAGCAAAGAAACCCUCAAACAAUCCAAUUUAAAAAUGUCAAACGAUCUGAAUAGGCAUUUUUCAAAAGACAACAUACAAACGGUCAAAAAUAUAUUAAAACACACUCAUCACUAUCUGGGAAAUGCAAAUCAAAACCGCAAUGAGGUAUCACUCUCCCCGUUUAGGAUAAUUAUUAUCAAAAAGACAAAAACAGACGCUGGCAAGGAUGCAGAGAAAAGGGAACUAAUGGCCAGGUGCGGUGGCUCACAUCUGUAAUCCCAGCACUUUGGGAGGCCGAGCUGGGUGGAUCACGAGGUCAGGAGUUCGAGACUGCCUGACCAACGUGGUGAAACCCUG
rnacentral:lncRNA from 1 species